GUGGCUGUAGCUCAAGUGGUUAGAGCACCUGGUUGUGGUCCAGGGGGUUGUGGGUUCGAGUCCCAUCAGCCACC
rnacentral:tRNA from 1 species